rnacentral:rRNA from 1 species
CCCGAACGGUGGAUCACUCGGCUCGCCGAU